CCAAGAAAUGAAAUAUGAAUUUUUUAUUUUUUUUUUCUGUGUUGGUGUUGUGUACUCAGGUGAAUAAUAUGUUUGCAAUGUUACUCUGAGUGCAUAUCCACACCGGGCGAGCUUGAAAAAUACGCCCGGCCAAGGUGGGAUUCGAACCUACGACCUUUGGAAUACCAGCCCAAUGCUCUUCCAACUGAGCUACGUGGUCAGGACGGUUCGAGUAAGUGAUAUUUCGGAACAGUAUCUAGUUCCUUCAAUACCAAUGUGUUCUAGUAAUAUGAUUUUUUUUUUCUGUGUUGGUGUUGUGCACUCAGGUGAAUAAUAUGUUUGCAAUGUUACUCUGAGUGCAUAUCCACACCGGGCGAGCUUGAAAAAUACGCCCGGCCACGGUGGGAUUCGAACCUACGACCUUUGGAAUACCAGCUCAGUACUAGAACACAUUGGUAUUGAAGGAACUAGAUACUGUUCCGAAAUAUCACUUACUCGAACCGUCCUGACCGCGUAGCUCAGUU